AUUGAACGCUGGCGGCAGGCUUAACACAUGCAAGUCGAGCGGAGUUGAGGUGCUUGCACCUUAUCUUAGCGGCGGACGGGUGAGUAAUGCUUAGGAAUCUGCCUAUUAGUGGGGGACAACAUUCCGAAAGGAAUGCUAAUACCGCAUACGCCCUACGGGGGAAAGCAGGGGAUCUUCGGACCUUGCGCUAAUAGAUGAGCCUAAGUCGGAUUAGCUAGUUGGUGGGGUAAAGGCCUACCAAGGCGACGAUCUGUAGCGGGUCUGAGAGGAUGAUCCGCCACACUGGGACUGGGACCCGGCCCAGACUCCUACGGGAGGCAGCAGUGGGGAAUAUUGGACAAUGGGCGGAAGCCUGAUCCAGCCAUGCCGCGUGUGUGAAGAAGGCCUUAUGGUUGUAAAGCACUUUAAGCGAGGAGGAGGCUCUUUUGGUUAAUACCCAAGAUGAGUGGACGUUACUCGCAGAAUAAGCACCGGCUAACUCUGUGCCAGCAGCCGCCGUAAAAC
rnacentral:rRNA from 1 species